AUUGAACGCUGGCGGCAGGCUUAACACAUGCAAGUCGAGCGGGGAGAUGUAGCUUGCUACAUUUCCUAGCGGCGGACGGGUGAGUAAUGCUUAGGAAUCUGCCUAUUAGUGGGGGACAACAUUCCGAAAGGAAUGCUAAUACCGCAUACGCCCUACGGGGGAAAGCAGGGGAUCUUCGGACCUUGCGCUAAUAGAUGAGCCUAAGUCAGAUUAGCUAGUUGGUGGGGUAAAGGCCUACCAAGGCGACGAUCUGUAGCGGGUCUGAGAGGAUGAUCCGCCACACUGGGACUGAGACACGGCCCAGGCUCCUACGGGAGGCAGCAGUGGGGAAUAUUGGACAAUGGGCGAAAGCCUGAUCCAGCCAUGCCGCGUGUGUGAAGAGGGCCUUUUGGUUGUAAAGCACUUUAAGCGAGGAGGAGGCUACUUGGAUUAAUACUCUAGGAUAGUGGACGUUACUCGCAGAAUAAGCACCGGCUAACUCUGUGCCAGCAGCCGCAGUAA
rnacentral:rRNA from 1 species